GACAGAGGGUGCAAACGUUGUUCGGAAUUACUGGGCGUAAAGCGCACGUAGGCGGAUUGUUAAGUCGGGGGUGAAAUCCUGGAGCUCAACUCCAGAACUGCCUUCGAUACUGGCGAUCUCGAGUCCGGGAGAGGUGAGUGGAACUGCGAGUGUAGAGGUGAAAUUCGUAGAUAUUCGCAAGAACACCAGUGGCGAAGGCGGCUCACUGGCCCGGUACUGACGCUGAGGUGCGAAAGCGUGGGGAGCAAACAGG
rnacentral:rRNA from 1 species